AGUGAACGCUGGCGGCAGGCCUAACACAUGCAAGUCGAGCGGCAGCGCGGGGGCAACCCUGGCGGCGAGCGGCGGACGGGUGAGGAAUUCGUCGGAAUCUGCCUCUUUGUGGGGGAUAAAGUAGGGAAACUUACGCUAAUGCCGCAUACGUCCUACGGGAGAAAGUGGGGGACCGCAAGGCCUCACGCAGAAAGAUGAGCCGACGACCGAUUAGCUAGUUGGUGGGGUAAAGGCCCACCAAGGCGACGAUCGGUAGCUGGUCUGAGAGGAUGAUCAGCCACACUGGGACUGAGACACGGCCCAGACUCCUACGGGAGGCAGCAGUGGGGAAUAUUGGACAAUGGGCGCAAGCCUGAUCCAGCAAUGCCGCGUGUGUGAAGAAGGCCUUCGGGUUGUAAAGCACUUUUGUCCGGAAAGAAAUCCCUGGAGCUAAUACCUUCGGGGGAUGACGGUACCGGAAGAAUAAGCACCGGCUAACUUCGUG
rnacentral:rRNA from 1 species